CCUACGGGAGGCUGCAGUCGAGAAUCAUUCACAAUGGGGGAAACCCUGAUGGUGCGACGCCGCGUGGGGGAAUGAAGGUCUUCGGAUUGUAAACCCCUGUCAUGUGGGAGCAAAUUAAAAAGAUAGUACCACAAGAGGAAGAGACGGCUAACUCUGUGCCAGCAGCCGCGGUAAUACAGAGGUCUCAAGCGUUGUUCGGAAUCACUGGGCGUAAAGCGUGCGUAGGCUGUUUCGUAAGUCGUGUGUGAAAGGCGCGGGCUCAACCCGCGGACGGCACAUGAUACUGCGAGACUAGAGUAAGGGAGGGGGAACCGGAAUUCUCGGUGUAGCAGUGAAAUGCGUAGAUAUCGAGAGGAACACUCGGGGCGAAGGCGGGUUCCUGGACAUUAACUGACGCUGAGGCACGAAGGCCAGGGGAGCGAAAGGGAUUAGAUACCCCAGUAGUC
rnacentral:rRNA from 1 species